rnacentral:rRNA from 1 species
AUUGAACGCUGGCGGCAGGCCUAACACACGCAAGUCGAACGAGGGGCGGACGGGUGAGUAAUGUCUGGGAAACUGCCUGAUGGAGGGGGAUAACUACUGGAAACGGUAGAUAAUACCGCAUAACAUCAGAUGUGCCCAGAUGGGAUUAGAUAGUAGGUGGGGUAACGGCUCACCUAGGCGACGAUCCCUAGCUGGUCUGAGAGGAUGACCAGCCACCCUGGUACUGGGCCACGGUCCAGACUCCUACGGGAGGCAGCAGUGGGGAAUAUUGCACCAUGGGCGCAAUCCUGAUGCAGCCAUGCCGCGUGUGUGAAGAAGGCCUUCGGGUUGUAAAGCACUUUCAGCUGUGAGGCGUUACCCGCAGAAGAAGCACCGGCUAACUCCGUGCCAGCAGCCGCGGUAAUUC